rnacentral:rRNA from 1 species
AGGUCGACGGUAUCGAUAAGCUUGAUAUCGAAUUCCCGGGCCCCCCCUCGAGGUCAGCACAGGGACACAUUUGAAGUCUCAGAGCCGGGUGUUGGUUCCGGUAGAGAUCGAGGGAAAUUAGUACCGAAGUCUGGGAUGGAAGAUGGCGAGAAAAGCUGUGUGUAUUUCUGAGGUGCCCGUACCGCAAACCGACACAGGUAGGUAGGAAGAAGAUUCUAAGGCCAACGGGAGAAGGGUUGUUAAGGAACUCGGCAAGUUGACCCCGUAACUUAGGGAUAAGGGGUGCUCAAGUGAUUGAGCCGCAGAGAAUAGGCCCAGGCGACUGUUUAGCAAAAACACAGGUCUCUGCUAAAUCGAAAGAUGACGUAUAGGGGCUGACACCUGCCCGGUGCCGGAAGGUUAAGAGGAGAUGUGAGAGCAUUGAAUUGAAGCCCCGGUAAACGGCGGCCGUAACUAUAACGGUCCUAAGGUAGCGAAAUUCCUUGUCAGGUAAGUUCUGACCCGCACGAAAGGUGUAACGAUCUGGGCACUGUCUCAACAACCCGCCCGGCGAAAUUGUAGUACCGGUGAAGAUGCCGGUUACCCGCGACUAGACGGAAAGACCCCAUGGAGCUUUACUGUAGCCAUCCCCCGGGCUGCAGGAAUUCGAUAUCAAGCUUAUCGAUACCGUCGACCUCGAGGGGGGCCCGGGAAUUCGAUAUCAAGCUUAUCGAUACCGUCCUCUUGGAGUGCUGGAAUUCUAACCUGCGGCUUUGAAGCAAGUCGGGGGACAUUGUUAGGUGGGCAGUUUGACUGGGGCGGUCGCCUCCUAAAGAGUAACGGAGGCGUUCAAAGGUUCGCUCAGCUUGAACGGAAAUCAAGCAAAAGAGUGCAAACGCAGAAGCGAGCCUAACUGCGAGACUGACGGGUCGAGCAGUAACGAAAGUUGGAGUUAGUGAUCCGGCGGUAUAUGUGAGUGGAAAUGCCGUCGCUCAACGGAUAAAAGCUACCCUGGGGAUAACAGGCUGAUCUCCCCCAAGAGUCCACAUCGACGGGGAGGUUUGGCACCUCGAUGUCGGCUCAUCGCAUCCUGGGGCUGUAUUCGGUCCCAAGGGUUUGGCUGUUCGCCAAUUAAAGCGGUACGCGAGCUGGGUUCAGAACGUCGUGAGACAGUUCGGUCCCUAUCUGUCGUGGGCGUAGGAUAUUUGCAAGGAGCUGUCCCUAGUACGAGAGGACCGGGAUGGACGCACCUCUGGUGCACCAGUUGUCACGCCAGUGGCACAGCUGGGCAGCUAUGUGCGGAACGGAUAAACGCUGAAGGCAUCUAAGCGUGAAGCCGCCCUUAAGAUAAGAUAUCCCUUCUGUUUACAGAGUAAGACCCCUUGAAGACUACAAGGUUGAUAGGCUCAAAGUGUAAGCACGGUGACGUGUUUAGCUAGCGAGUACUAAUCGGUCGAGGGCUUAACCUU